GGAGAGUGGCGCACGGGUGAGUAGCGCGUGGGAACCUGCCCCUUUGUGGGGGAUAACCGAGGGAAACUUCGGCUAAUACCGCAUGCGCCCCGGUAGUGAUCUCGGGGGUAAAGAUUUAUCGCAGAGGGAGGGGCCCGCGUCGGAUUAGCUGGUUGGUGGGGUAACGGCCUACCAAGGCGAUGAUCCGUAGCUGGUCUGAGAGGAUGAUCAGCCACACUGGGACUGAGACACGGCCCAGACUCCUACGGGAGGCAGCAGUGGGGAAUAUUGGACUAUGGGCGCAAGCCUGAUCCAGCAAUGCCGCGUGAGUGAGGAAGGCCUUAGGGUUGUAUAGCUCUUUCGCGCGCGACGAUGAUGACGGUAGCGCGAGAAGAAGCCCCGGCUAACUUCCUGCCUGCAGCCGCGGUAAU
rnacentral:rRNA from 1 species